UACGGAGGGGGCUAGCGUUGUUCGGAAUUACUGGGCGUAAAGCGCACGUAGGCGGAUAUUUAAGUCAGGGGUGAAAUCCCGGGGCUCAACCCCGGAACUGCCUUUGAUACUGGGUAUCUCGAGUCCGAGAGAGGUGAGUGGAAUUCCGAGUGUAGAGGUGAAAUUCGUAGAUAUUCGGAGGAACACCAGUGGCGAAGGCGGCUCACUGGCUCGGUACUGACGCUGAGGUGCGAAAGCGUGGGGAGCAAACAGGG
rnacentral:rRNA from 1 species